rnacentral:tRNA from 1 species
GGAGAGGUGGCAGAGCUGGUUGAAUGCGCGUGACUCGAAAUCAUGUAUACUGGUUAACAGUAUCGGGGGUUCGAAUCCCUUCCUCUCCGCCA